rnacentral:rRNA from 1 species
UACGGAGGGUGCGAGCGUUGUCCGGAAUCACUGGGCGUAAAGGGCGCGUAGGCGGCCUGGUAAGUAGGGGGUGAAAUCCUGCGGCUUAACCGCAGGGCUGCCUUCUAAACUGUCAGGCUCGAGCACGGUAGAGGCAGAUGGAAUUCCCGGUGUAGCGGUGGAAUGCGUAGAGAUCGGGAAGAACAUCAGUGGCGAAGGCGGUCUGCUGGGCCGUUGCUGACGCUGAGGCGCGACAGCGUGGGGAGCAAAC